CAACAAUGUUGGUCAUGUUGCACUUUUGAAGCCUCCCUUAGUUGGGAUGAUAAUGCCAUUCGAGAACGUGCUUCUGUCAGCCUCCCUGGAACUUAAGCUAACUGUCUCUGAUGUCAAAGUUCCAAUACACAUGGCUUUGCUUCUGAAAGAAUGGGAUCUUUUGAAUGCCGUGCCCAAGCAGUGAAAGGAAACAAAGGGAUGGCUUGUGUGCCAGGAAGAUCUGAACACAAUCCCUAGCAUGAAAAGGCUUACAUAGCCUGAUGUACCUUGGAAGAGAUCCCCUUCCCUCCUUUCUGCUCUCACAAUUAGGUGGGUUAACCUGAUACCUUAGGUUAGAUAUAAGGCAAAAAAAC
rnacentral:lncRNA from 14 species